rnacentral:lncRNA from 10 species
CAGAGUCUCACUCUUGUCACCCAGGCUGGAGUAUAGUGGCGCAAUCUCGGCUCACUGCAACCUCCACCUCCCGAGUUGAAGCAAUUCUACUGCCUCAGCCUCCUGAGUAGCUGGGAUUACAGAUGCCCGCCACCACGCCCAGCUAAUUUUUGUACUUUUAGUAGAGACGGGGUUUCGCCAUAUUGGCCAGGCUGGUCUCGAACUCCUGAUCUCAGGUAAUCCGCCUACCUCGGCCUCCCAAAGUGCUGGGAUUACAGGCAUGAGCCACCGUGCCCGACCGAUUUAUUCAUUUUUAAUUGAGUCUGAAAAAUGUCAUUGAAAAUAGUUUCAUUGGCAUGGGUGAGAAAUAAGAAAAUCCUGGCUUCAAAUAAUUCAGUUUUGAGAAUGUACAAACUUGACACAAUGAAAUGGUAAUUUAUGAAAUUAAAGCUGCACCUCUCUGGAAUAGUGAUGUUCAAAGAUGCUUAAUGAUUGGAGGGUACUUGAGGGCUGAGGAAUUUUUGAUGCUUCGUGACCGCAGGAACAAUAUUUUUCUUAUUACUCCGUCACCUGGCACAAAAUCAGCACUCAAUAUACAUUUGCUGAAAGAAUGAAUGAUUCAUUUUUUAUUUUGUAGUACUUUAGAGCCUACUUCUCUAGAGCCUAUAUUUAUUUAUGCAUUGAAUACUUAUUAAAUGCCUACUUUAUGCUAGGUAUUCUCCUGGGUCAUGAGUAUAGAAAAAAAUGAAUAAAAUUUGAUACAUGCCCCCAAAGAAAUUUCAGUCUGCUAUUCGCAAUGCUUUGAUCUAUAGAUUGAGGCUAUUUGUCUGCAGACUUUUUUCAGCUCAUUCCUGGUAGAAUUGAAAACAACUUUUUUCUUUAUUUUUAAAAAUUUGAAUAACUAGUCUUCAUAACAUUUCUCCUCACAAUAGUCCAUUUCUACAAAAUCUUUACAAGCCUUGAAUUUUGAGAAACACCAAUGUUUGUGUGAACUUGCUGAAUUAGAUUCACCCACAGCUGCCUUCCUUCCCUCCCCUACUUCUUCUUUCCUUUUACAUUGACUAUCCUCUAAAUAUGAAUUGUGUGGCAAUCCUUCCAAUGUGAUUAUCAUGACGUUAUCGAGUAUUGGGCGAGGGGUAGGGGCUAUUAUUCUGUUUAUCAUAGACCUACCUGGGCUCUUAAAAAAUAAGUUCUUUAUUUCUUUCCAGUUGAAAUGGAUUCUGACUCUCCAAAUCUUGGCCCAAAUACUGAGCUGAUCUUUCCUGCCCUAAUUCCAGUAGAAUGGCACCUGACACAAUACUUUUGUGGAAGAGUACAUCACAUGAAAUGAAAACUAUAGAGAUGAACUAGAGAGACAAUGGAAUACUGUCCUUUGGCUGAGUCCUGCUGAAACCUGGUGGUGACACACAGAAGCAGGGUGAAUAUUCAAGAAAUACUGUUAAAUCACAAACUACUCAGAUGCAAACACAAGAGUGCAUGCUGGAACUGGCUUAUGAAACACAAGCCAGCUGGCUGCCCUAGAAAAAGUCUGAGGAAAAAGCCUUCUUCAUCUAAUUCAUAAAUGGGAAAUUGAAUUUCCAGGCUUAGCUGGCUUAUUUUUAUCUUCUUUUGUUUGUUUGAACUAUGUAUUGCUGAAUAACUGUGACAACAUUGAAAAGAGGGUUCAUGAGUAAAGCAAGAGUUGAUCUUUCACAAAUCAGUGCUAUAAUCAUUUCUAUGGGAGAGGCUACAGAUGAUUCCAUGCAGGGAGCACUCUGUAUGAAUGAUGUGGCCUCAGGCUAGAACACUUGAAAAGCAGCAAAGGAAAACUUUCUGCCCAACUUAUUAGAGGGGUGUGUGUGUGUGUGUGUGUGUGUAUCUCACAUGAAUAUAUUAUACAUAUGUAUAUAUAACAUAUAUAUAUAUACACACACACACCACUGGUGUUUAUUUUCACAUGCUUUUUUAUUUUUAUUUUAUUUUAUUUUUAAAAUAGAGACAGUGUCUUUCUCCGUCACCCAGGCUGGAAUGCAGUGAUGUAAUCAUGGCUCACUGAAGCCUCGAACUUGAACUCCUGGGCUCAAACGAUCCUCCUGCCUUAGCCUCUUGAGUAGCUAGGACUAUAGCCACAUCCUACUAGGUCCAACUAAUUUUAAUUAUUUUUUGUGUGUGGAGAUGGUGGGGGCGGGGUGUCUCUCUAUGUUUCCCAGGCUGGUCUUGAACUCCUGGCCUCCAGCAAUCCUUCUGCCUUGAGCUCCCAAAGUGCUGGGAUCAUAGGCAUGAGCCACCGUACCCAGCCUAGUUUCACACUUUUAUACACUCUCCCAAGUAUCACAGGGCUGGAAGCACUUUGAUUUUGGUGUAUUGGGUAUAAUUUAUGUUCUGUCAAUGAAAUGCAAUCAUGCAAUAUUCCAAAGGCAGAAUAGAGGCUCAGAGAACCCAUAUGUUAAAAAAAAUUAUUCCUUUGACAGAUAAAUAACACUUUUUCUAAUUUAUUGAUUUUGUAAAUUUGGAAUUGUGAAGAAUCUCCCCUCCCCCAAGAAAAACCUGUUUGUUCAGCAUUCCUUGCAAUGAUUGAAUCCUUUACCAGACAAACAAGAUGAAUGAAUUAUCUUUUCUUCUUUUCCUUUGGCUUACUUUUUCUGUGACAUUGUUUGAGAGACUGAGCACAGUAUUUUGAAACAGAUGACAGGGUUGUCACCUUUGAGUGGCACAAAUUUAGUAGCAACAGUAGGGCGUUUUAUGACAAUUUCUUUACAGUAUGAAAUCCAAAAGUUAUUCUCUGUGCCUUCAUGAGGAAAUGACAUUGAGUGGCAAUAUUUAAGAUGGUGAUUGGGAGGAAAGGCGAGUGUGAGAAGGGCAGCCUAAUUUUCAUGAAAUGAAACAGCCCUAGACUUGCAAAAUGAUAAUCGUAUUACUGAACAAUGUGAUGAUUCUCUCACAUGAAUUGUUCACUUCCAGGAGGCAUUCAAUCAGGCAAGCUAUCAAGAAGAUCUGGCCUUUGAUAAACACAUCCACUUUAAUAGCAGUUCCCGAGAUGAAAUGUUUGGAUUUAUGGCACCCAAUCACUGCAGCUUGAAAAUAUGAAAUAACUUGCUAGUGAACUGCCAUGAAAACCAUUACAUUAUGCUAGGGUCUUCCUUUUAGUAAGAUAUGGGAUGUUAUUAAUUGAUUAAUCUCCCUCCCUAUUCUUAAAAAUGAUUUAAGGAGGGUGGCCAUUUGCUACGAUGGAAAAGUACGGCUUCCUGGUCUGAUAUAAAAUGAGAAAUUGCCCAAGAUGAGCUCUAAGAUGUCUUCUACAUAACAUCUUCUAUGAUACAAUUUUUGGGAGUCUGUCCUUCAAAACUUCAUUACAAGGGGUCAUAUUAAGAUGAACUCUUAAUAAUAAGCCUCCUUAUGUGGGGCUCACAGAGACCUAGAUUCGUCCUAGAAUCCACUGGGAUUUGAACUGUCAUGAUUCUGAAGCUUACAUGGAUCCACAGAGUUGAUGUCAACUUAAUUCCUUGGAAAAUUAGGAGACAAAGAUUUGUUCUCUGUUCUUAUUCCUAACUUGGUGAGUUCCACUAAUGGUUGCUACCUUUCAGAGGCACAGACUUUGUAAUAACAGGGGAUGGCGCAUUACAAUUUCUAUGUUACACAAAUUCUAAAAUUAAGUUUAGUGAUUGGGAGGGAAGGUGAUUGAGAAAAGUAUACUUUUCAACUAAUGAAACAACAUUUAACUUCUGAGAAGGUACUUGUUGUAUUACUUAGCAAUGUGGAGUUUCAUCCCAGGCUGAAUAGAUUUCAAGGCAAACGGUGUCAGUUAUAAUAAUGCUGAGAAUUUUUUCUGGCCAAUGUUAUAUAAGAAAAGGUUUUAUUAAAGAAAGUUUAAGCAGCAUGAUUCAUAACAGCCAAAAAGCGGAAGCAACCCAAGUGUCCACAGCCAGAUCAAUGAAUAAACAAAAUGUGUUAUAUCCAUAAGAUGAAAUAUUUUUCAGCCUUAAAAGGAAGGAAAUUCUGACACAUGUUGAAAUGCUACAACAUGAAUGAAACUUGAAGGCAUGCAAUGUGAAACCAGACACAAAAGGACAAAUACUAUAUAAUUUCAUUGAUUUGAGGUACCUAGAAUAGUGAAAUUCAUAGAGAUAGAAAGUAGAAUGGAGGUGGCCAUGGGUUUGGGGAGUGGGGAAUGGGGAGUUAUUGUUUAAAGGCUACAGAGUUGCAGUUUGGAAAGAUGAAAAAGUUCUUCCCAAAGUUUUGGGAUGGUGGAUAGUGGUGAUGAAUGUACUAAAAGCCACAAAACCACACACUUACAAAUGGUUAAAAUGGCAAAUUAUAUAUGUUACACAUAUUUCACCACAAGUAUAAUACUAAAUUUAAAAAGAACAGAAAGAGUUUAAAAUGACUUCAACUACAUCUUCAUAUUUAUUCCUUUUCCUAAUUUAAGAGGGAAAUAAUUUCAGUUCCCCAGAGUUCUGUGUUUCUGGUAUUUUAAUGUGGAAUAAAAUGUUACCAACUCGUUUUUGCUUCUAUUAAGAUCUCGCUCUUGGUAGGCCACUGGCUUUGAGAAACAUCUUGUGUCUUUGAAUUCAGAUAAAAUAGAGUUACAGCUAAUUACAUCUUGGAUUUGUUUUACAAUUACAAAUAUAGAAGGUAGAUGAAGAAAAAUUAUGUUCCAAUCUUUGAAAACUGCCAUUUGGAAGAUUGUCUACAUGAUGGUUUACAUUAAAGGUGCAAUAUUAGCAUGGCUUUUUAUUACUAAAUAUAUUUUAAAAUAUACAUUUGGGCAUUAACUUUAAGAUACUUAUAAAAUAUUUUCUUAUUUGCUAAAGCGAAUCCCUUUGAUUUAUAAUAUACUUCUUGUCCAUUUAUAAAUAUUUAAUGAAACCUUACUCUUUUUUUUGCUUUUUAUGGUGCAUAAAAUAGAUUGAUAGUGUCUCAAAAGUUUUUUUAUUUUUCCAUUUUCUGUUAUAAAAAUAAUCAUGAAUACCUUUAUGUGUCAAAAUUUCAAGCCAAUACUACUGAAGUGAGAAUAAUUUUUCUACUUUUUAAAAGAAAAGUCACAAUCGUCUGUCAAGUGUUUUAAAAUUCAGAUUCUCAUUCAAAAAUUUGCAUGAGAUUUAUUUUAAAACAGUUUUUUUUCUUCCCAAGAUGAUAGUAAAAGAUAGGAGAGAAAAGAAAGAAAAGAUGGUAAAAGAUGAUGGUAAAAGACACGGCUUGACGCACCUACACAUACGCUGAUAGACUAUAGAGCACCUUAAUUUUUUUCCCUUUUUGAUCUCCUCACCUUUUUUUUUUUUUUUUUGAGAUAGAGUCUCACUCUGUCACCCAGGCUGGAGUACAGCAGCGCGAUCUCGGCUCACUGCAACCUCCGCUUCCCGGGUUCAAGGGAUUCUUCUGCCUCAGUCUCCUGAGUAGCUGGGACUACAGGCAUGCAC